rnacentral:rRNA from 1 species
GAGUUUGAUCCUGGCUCACGAUGAACGCUAGCUACAGGCUUAACACAUGCAAGUCGAGGGGAGACGACAUCGAAAGCUUGCUUUUGAUGGGCGUCGACCGGCGCACGGGUGAGUAACGCGUAUCCAACCUGCCCACCACUUGGGGAUAACCUUGCGAAAGUAAGACUAAUACCCAAUGACGUCUCUAGAAGACAUCUGAAAGAGAUUAAAGAUUUAUCGAUGAUGGAUGGGGAUGCGUCUGAUUAGCUUGUUGGCGGGGUAACGGCCACCAAGGCGACGAUCAGUAGGGGUUCUGAGAGGAAGGUCCCCCANAUUGGAACUGAGACACGGUCCAAACUCCUACGGGAGCA